CCCUUAGAUGUUCUGGGCUGCACGCGCGCUACACUGAAGCUAUCAACACGUUUUCCCUCCCUGAGAAGGGCGGGUAACCUUUUGAAUCAGCUUCGUGGUAGGGCUCGGGGCUUGCAAUUGUUCCCCGUGAACCAGGAAUUCCUAGUAGACGCGAGUCAUAAGCUCGCAUCGAUUAAGUCCCUGCCCUUUGUACACACCGCCCGUCGCUACUACCGAUUGAACGUUUUAGUGAGGCAUUUGGACCGACGCAUCUCAGUUUAACCGCUGGUUUGUGUUGGAAAGACUUCCAAACUUGAGCGUUUAGAGGAAGUAAAAGUCGUAACA
rnacentral:rRNA from 1 species